AACAAGCUGAGAGCCAAGAGCCGUGAAGCUGGGAAGACUAAAGAUGAAGAAUGAAGACAAUAAACUACACCUACAAGCAAGCAUAUGACUGACUUGUGCUGAGUUUUUCUGUGUCCAUUAAAUGGCAUAGUUUGACUUUGUUCUCCAUUAUUUUUUCCACUUUCAAACUUUAUCACAUACUCAAUCACUGUUUAAAAAGACAACUCAUGAGGCAUGAUGUGGUAAAGAACACAAAUGCAGUGUACUGAAAUUGUGAUAGUAACAAAAAAACCAAAAAUUAAAAGCAGGAAAAACUAAA